UCCACAUUCUAUUGUAAUUGGGCUCGCCCGUUUAAUGAUAAAUAAAUAAAUAAAUAACCUUCAUUGUUAUUAAAUUUAUAAUUAUGUUUUAAGAAAAAAAAGAAGAAAAAAUGUGCGAUGAAAAUGAUGGUCCAUCAAUUACACAAAAAGUUCGAAUUCAUUAGUUAUUAUCAAUAUUUAUUAAACAACAUAUCUUUGAGUUGUUGUUAUAAUAUGAAAGAUUUAUUAAUUGAAGAAAAAUGAUCGUGUCAUUCAUAUGAAGAAUGACAAAUUACAACUUGUACCACCAAACUUCAGAUAAAUAAAAAAAUUUCACAUGGGUACCACAUCUCCUCCAGUAUCAAUAAGGUCAACACCAAAAGAAAAAUAUUCAUAAAAAAACAAUGUGAUUGGAAAAUACUAUCAAAGAUUUAUUAUAUGAAGAAAAAUGAUCGUGUCAUUCAUAUCAAGAAUGACAAAUU